AUAGCAAAAUGUUUAGCAU
rnacentral:snRNA from 1 species